UUGAAAAAAACAUUGGGCCCAUGGGGAUGGUGGCCACAAAGGGAAAGAAACAAGCGUUCAUCAGUAUGUUUGUCCACUUCACAAAGUCCAACCUGUCUGAGUUCCCACCACCUGAGAAAGAACUCCGCCGCGCUGGGAAUCGCCUCUGGCGGCACCGGAGGACCACUGCCCAUAAAACCUACAUCGUUCUAACCACCUCACAUUCCUCUACCAUAAACCGACCUCUAUUUCUUCCGAAUUUUAAACCAUCCAUCCAAACCCAACCGAAAUCAGACGAACCCUAACUCACAAAUCUUGAAUUGAACGCGAGCAAUGGUUGAAUCGGAGUCCAAACCAUAGGGGUUUGGCUCCACGAUCUAUAAGUCAUAUCAAAGUAAGGAGAAUUGAUCGAGAAAGAAGAAUUUCACCAACCUACGAGACAAAGAAUUAUCCUGGUGAAAAAUUACACUCAAAGCGAACGCGAAGUCAGAGGCGUCUCUAGCAAGGUGAAUUGAAGAUGAUGCGGCAAGGUUGAAGAGGUAGAAUGAAGAACGUCACGAUUCUGAUUCUUGAUUUCUCUGAUGAAGACCGAAGGCUCAGUUUGAAGGAUACUCCUCCUCUUUUAGGUUGAAUAGAAGAUGAAGAACAAAAUGAAAAGGGAAGAAGAAUCGAAGGAUGGAAGCUUGAAGAAUGAUUAGAGGUGAGUGAAGAUUGAAGCAAAAUGAAGUAGUGUAAACAUAAUGAAGAUUCAGAAGACUAGAUGAAGAUGAAUGACGAUCUAUUUAUACAAGUUUUCCUUCUUAAUUCUGUUAGAAAUUUCAUUUAAUGCAUCUCAAAUUCACCUCAAAUUGAAAUGAAAAAGAAGUUAGAGGUUUUUGAUCUGUUAGAAACUGUUAGUUAGUUUUAAGUUAGUUACAAAUGAAAGUUGAAAUGAAAUUAAUUUGAUUUGCAUUUGGUUUUAAAUUUGGUUUGGGUGCCGUGUUAUCUGAACCUCUACUGAACUAUUCCAUAUAAAUCUUACUGUUAUUUA